CCUACGGGAGGCAGCAGUGGGGAAUAUUGGGCAAUGGAGGAAACUCUGACCCAGCAACGCCGCGUGAAGGAUGAAGGUUUUCGGAUUGUAAACUUCUGGCGCGAGGGAGGAAGAAUGAAGGGAGCACGUAAGAAAGCACCGGCAAACUACGUGCCAGCAGCAGCGGUAAUACGGAGGGGGCGAGCGUUGUCCGGAAUGACUGGGCGUAAAGGGAGGGUAGGCGGCAUAUGAAGUUAUGUGUGAAAGCCCGCGGCUCAACCUCGGAAUUGCACAUAAAACUGGUAAGCUGGAGUGCAGGAGCGGUAAGUGGAAUUCCCGGUGUAGCGGUGGAAUUCGUAGAUAUCGGGAGGAACACCAGCGGCGAUGGCGACUUACUGGACUGUAACUGACGCUGAGGCUCGCACGCGUGGGUAGCAAACAGGAUUAGAUACCCGGGUAGUC
rnacentral:rRNA from 1 species